rnacentral:rRNA from 1 species
AACGAACGCUGGCGGCGUGCCUAACACAUGCAAGUCGUGCGAGACCUUCGGGUCUAGUGGCGCACGGGUGCGUAACGCGUGGGAACCUGCCUUUAGGUUCGGAAUAACUCAGAGAAAUUUGAGCUAAUACCGGAUAAUGUCUUCGGACCAAAGAUUUAUCGCCUUUAGAUGGGCCCGCGUAAGAUUAGCUAGUUGGUGGGGUAAAGGCCUACCAAGGCGACGAUCUUUAGCUGGUCUGAGAGGAUGAUCAGCCACACUGGGACUGAGACACGGCCCAGACUCCUACGGGAGGCAGCAGUGGGGAAUAUUGGACAAUGGGCGAAAGCCUGAUCCAGCAAUGCCGCGUGAGUGAUGAAGGCCUUAGGGGUUGUAAAGCUCUUUUACCCGAGAUGAUAAUGACAGUAUCGGGAGAAUAAGCUCCGGCUAACUCCGUGCCAGCAGCCGCGGUAAU